UGGAUUUGGCUUUUUUUGGACUUUGGAAUAUAUGCAUUAUGAAUAUACUGAAUCUGAAAAUCUGAAAUCCAA